GAUGAACGCUGGCGGCGUGCCUAAUACAUGCAAGUCGAGCGAACAGACGAGGAGCUUGCUCCUCUGACGUUAGCGGCGGACGGGUGAGUAACACGUGGAUAACCUACCUAUAAGACUGGGAUAACUUCGGGAAACCGGAGCUAAUACCGGAUAAUAUAUUGAACCGCAUGGUUCAAUAGAGAAAGACGGUUUUGCUGUCACUUAUAGAUGGAUCCGCGCCGCAUUAGCUAGUUGGUAAGGUAACGGCUUACCAAGGCAACGAUGCGUAGCCGACCUGAGAGGGUGAUCGGCCACACUGGAACUGAGACACGGUCCAGACUCCUACGGGAGGCAGCAGUAGGGAAUCUUCCGCAAUGGGCGAAAGCCUGACGGAGCAACGCCGCGUGAGUGAUGAAGGUCUUCGGAUCGUAAAACUCUGUUAUUAGGGAAGAACAAAUGUAUAAGUAACUAUGCACGUCUUGACGGUACCUAAUCAGAAAGCCACGGCUAACUACGUG
rnacentral:rRNA from 1 species